rnacentral:rRNA from 1 species
UACGUAGGGGGCUAGCGUUGUCCGGAAUCAUUGGGCGUAAAGGGCGCGUAGGUGGCGGGACAAGCGUGCGGUGAAAGCUUGGGGCUCAACCCCGAGUCGGCCGUGCGAACUGUCUUGCUUGAGCACUGUAGAGGCAGGCGGAAUUCCGGGUGUAGCGGUGGAAUGCGUAGAGAUCCGGAAGAACACCGGUGGCGAAGGCGGCCUGCUGGGCAGUAGCUGACACUGAGGCGCGACAGCGUGGGGAGCAAACAGG